AUAGCGGAUUCGUCCCUUGCUGUUGAAAGCAAAACUCCUAUUACUUCUUGUUCAUUGUAUUGUUUGGCUGAAUCAUGUAUUUCAAAUUAAUACUCUAUCGGCUCUAGAUGUGUACCUAUUUCGUCUUAUUUAUUGUCAAUAUUUGUCUAAUUGUAUUAUUCUUUCUUGACAUGAAUUUUUUUUAUUAAUAGAUUUUAUGUUUAAUAAUUCUAUGAACUACUUGUGCCCUUACAGGGAUGGCAAAGGGAUGGAGAGCAUGUUCCCUUCCCCAUCUUGAGUACACAAUGCGGAGGGACAUUUGGCCAUUGCUAUGCCAUUGAAAAGACCUGCAGAAUUUAAGAUGGAGUUAGACGAAAGACAAACUCAAAAAAUCAUAAAAUUCAAGCUAACUUGUAAUUUCUUAAUCACUACAUUUAGCUAAGCGGAUGUGAUGUUGAAGAAUCAACAUAUGAUUUGUGGUUAAAGAUGAAAUGUUGCUCGACCUAGAGUUUGCUAGUCCCCUCAAAAUAAGUUGAGGUGCAACACUUGAUAGGACAAUUGGCGGAUAAAACAUUGAUUUGGGGUGGCCGUGAA
rnacentral:lncRNA from 1 species